GGGGCGCCCACGAAACGGGGCGGGACGGGGACGUUGCUGGUCCUAGGGACAGUGCUUGUGCUGUGGAGCAGCCGCCUUGCUCCUUCCCUCCCGGACGGCCUGAGGGCGGGCGCCUCAGCCGGUGUGUCGAGAGGGCCGCGGCGGGCCGUGGUGGCCUCGCGAGUGGCCGCGGCUGUCUGUGGGUGCGGGGCAAGCAACGGCCGGGCAAACACGGACAGGCCUUCGGCGGCAAGGAGCUUGCACAAUGGGCCAAGGACUUGGCAAAACUGCCUGGCCCAAACCUGCAGGAGGAUAUCAGACUAUUACAGGUGAAAGAAAACAUUCCUUUCUUGGGCUUAGACCAUUUUUGAAUAAUCAAGACAGAGAUGGACAUCAACAGAAUGACAACUGCAAACAAUUAGAAUUGGAAGAUGUUCAGAAAGAGAAUUCCUCAUCUUUCUGUGAAGAUUCUAGUCCAUUGGUUCAAGUUUCUACUGAACCUUUGUCAAAAGAUGCUGAUAUUAGAGAACCUGUUUGCCAAAGUGCAUCAAGCCAAACAUCACCAAUUUCUGUAUUCAGUUAUGGCCUUGAAGGCAACCAAAUCUCACGGGACUUGAUGAAUCCUUAUGAAAAAUCUGAGGACCUUGCAGAAUGCACAUCUGGAGGGCAUAAUGAUUUGGAUGGUAAAAAUGGAAUUGCUUUUGUAAACAUUGACUCCUAUGAGCCGGAUAGCAGUGAUGGAGAUGAAGAGGGUGUUCUAGACGAAUGUUCUUGGUUAAGAGAAGCAGCAGAUCUACUUCAGGAAAGACUAGAUAACUUACUUUCUCAGUAUGAAAAAGACAUGGAGUCUAUUAAUGACUUAGAGUCCCCACUGUCUGCUUUAAACCACAGCAUUUCUAGAGAAAGUUGCGAAGAAGGAGGACCAAUGCCUUUGGCAUGUCCAAACAAUAGGACACUUAAAUCUGCUGAAGAUGAAGCUGCACCAAAAAUUAGCCUGAGUUGUGAAACACAGCAGACAAAACAUAUAGUGGAUGUUGGAAUUGGAACCCCUGUACCUGAUGCUGAUGUAUUAAACAUUGUUGAUGGAGACACUGACCAAGAAAAUUCAUCUGAGCUGGUAGUGAGACCUAAAAUUAGAACACAAAAUACUGCUAAACAACUGGAGAGAGAAAAUCAUCUCUCUAGUGAUGAUGAAGAGGAAAAUAAUUCCUGGAGGAGAAUUGGAAUUGCUGAUGUCCAGCAGUGUCAUCCUGAGUGUCCCUUGAGAGAUGGCAAAGAUGAGAUGAGUUCUGGUGCUUUCUUUCUCUCAAGAAUGCACAGUCAUCGAAAGAACAUAGAAAUAGACUUAAGAAGAAAUUCACUAGCUCGAGAGCAAAACAAUGUUCUAAGUGACAGUGUUUUUUGGAAUGAGUUAGAAGACCACGACACACAUUACAUAAUGCCUCACAAAGAUGAAGACAGCUCAGAGUGCAGUGAUGGAGAAUGGCCUACAUCUGUGCCUUCCAGUCUUACUGCUGUGGAAAAAGAGCAGUCCUCAAGUGAUGAAAGCUGGGAGACUAUCUCGAGCAGGGAGGAGCACGACCCUGGUGUGCAGAGGAGCAGCAGGGGUAUGAAAGAGGAGAGCACAGACUUCUGUUUCCAAGAGGAGCAGGCGUUAUUGGAGGAAGGUGAAGUUGCUUGGUUACGGUACGAAGAAGACCUGGAAAGUAGCAGUGAUGAGGAAAAUGGUCCAAUUAGUGAUUUUGUACGUCUUGGAUUCUCCGUGUUGAAUGGUAAUAACAAUCUUGAGGAUGACUCCAGUGUGAGUGAAGACCUGGAUGAGGAGUGGAGAGUACUUGAUGAGUUUGGUGAUGGUCUAGGACUAGCUCAAGCCAUUCCUUACAUGGAACCUCAAUUUAUCACAUAUAUGGCACUAGAUGGACACUUAGAAGCUGUGGAGUGAAAACUACAUUGCCUUUAUUCACCCUCUGUUCGAACACCAGCUGUGAAGAUUGCACUGAAUUGUUGAAUAAUCUCUGCUAAUGUGUAAGUAAUACUUGCUGACUUAAUUGAGAGUUGGUCCUAUUUCUUACUGAAAAAAUAUUUAAUUUUAAUUAAGUAAAGUAAAAAAAAAAUCUGUUGGUAAAGACUACAACUCAAUACAGGUUUCACUUUCAUUUUGCUGCUCUAUUUCAUCUCAUAAUCAUGUAAGAUGGUGGCUACCUUCUUAAUAAAAAAAAAAACAAAAAAAACAAGACUCAAAAACCCAACAACAACAACAACAACAACAAUUAAUCCUGCCAGAAGCCUCUCACAAAAAAUUAACUAGUACUUGCAGCACAGAACCCCUGCAGAUUGAGGAGGAAAAGAUUUGGUGGUGGCUGACUGUUGAGGAAAAGCCCUAAAUAGUAAUACAAACAUCAAGAUGCCAUCUUGAAGAGGUGGUAUGCAGGUCCUUAUUGCAAUACUCAUAUUUUCACAUUGCUGGAACAUUUUCCUCUAGCUUUUACUAUAAGCACUUCCUACAGAACCACCUAAAUCCUCAGAUAGGUUAUGAGGCAUCUACACUUGGAGUAGAGUACAGCUGAUCUCCUGCAUGUGCAGGCAGGAUAAUGAGGAAUUUUGACUGCGUGCUUAACUAUGAGCUUCUUAAUGCAAUUGGUGCAAAAUGGGUCAUCUGUCUUGGAAGGCAAGCUGCCACAGGUGGGCUUUCCACCCCUCUGCCCUGCCCUCCCUACAAGACAGACAUGUGAACACUGGGUUUGAGAAGAAGCUCUUACCCCAUGGCUCACAGUCCUGUGUGGCACUCAGUUUGCCCAUACACUAUCCUAUCAGCCUUUUUCCUUUAUGCUGUAUUUGUGCCCAAGCUGCCUGGUUAUAGCCUGCUUCAUCUACUUAUAAAAAUAAAAUUGUGUUUUAGAACUAUCCAAACCUUAGAAAGUUUUUGGCUCUUUUUUCUCCUCAGAAUUUGCAUAGGUGGGCAAAUAAACAGCCAGAGGAUGUAAAGAAUUCUUGUUAAAGAAAACCAAAAGCCCUAAAUAUCUUAAAUGUCUGGAAAUUUAACAUCUUUUUAAGCUCUGUAUUUUUGGCUUGACUAAUAACAUUUACAUAAUCAGAGAAGAAUCUGGUGACGACAUUACAUUGCUCAUUACAUCAACUGGUGUCAGAGAGAAUGAUGAAAGAGCAGCCUUUUAAGAUUUUACUGAGAAGGUAAGACUUAUGUUCCUUUUCAGGUCCUGCAUAUUACUUCUUACUAGCUUUCACUGGUUUCCCCUCUAAAUAAGAAUUAAAGACUAGUGCUAUCUAUCCAGAAAUCUUGCUGAAGGCAGGAGUAAGAACCAUACAGGAAAACAUAUUGUUCAGAAGGACUAGUUUGUCCCUGUAUUGACUAUCUGUACUUUCUUCUGAGGACGUGAUCUCCUCUCUUCAGCUUGUGACGUCCCAGAUUUUCUGGAGAGCCAUUCCCUUUGGCAGUCCUGCCACAGCCAAGUCUCUGUGACAUGACCUGAUCCAAAUGGCACACAACGUGUCAGCCUCCUGUCAUUUUUCCACUUGGCAUGCUGCAGUGUGCUGUUUAUUCUCGAAAACAACAGCGAAAGAAAAAGACUCAGAAAUGUGUUUUCUGACACACAAAUUGGCCUCCCUUUGGAAAGCAACCUUGCUGUCAAAAGGCAGGGUGCAGGAGAAUGUGUUUCUGGCAUAAAAGCUGCCCUUAACCUCACAGCAGGAGCACCCCAAGAAGUCUUGGAAAUUGAAGGCUCCUUUUAUUGUAAAAAAAGCUGUCAGAGAAUUAAUCCAUCAUGAGUUGGAAAUGUCUCUUGAAGAUACGUGCGUCUUCCCAUUACAGCAUGGUCAAAUGCCAGCCUGUUCCUUUUAGAAUUCUGUUGAAGAUUCUAAGCCAGUUAGUAGCUUGAUUUUUCUCUCUCCUGACUUCUUUUUGCAGCAGAUUAGGUCAUUGAAAGCUAUGGGAGCUUAACUGUUAGAAAAAUAGAGCACAGUGUCUCAUUAUUCUGUAUUCUCAAGACAGAGCUAUUUCUUUAGUCCUGAUGCAUUUCUGCACACAGUUUAGCAGCAGUGCCUUUACUGUAGCAGACCUGCAAGGAACAGAGGGUGAUGGAAGAGAGGAAUACUGAUGAAAUUUCAUCAAAGACCUCUGUGUGUUGCAGUGUUAGUGGUGUGUGCAUGUGUCAUUGACUUGUGUAUUUUCUGUGGUUAUCUGUAUCAUGUCCCUUGAGGUGUAAAGUGCAUCCAGACUAUAUCGGUGAGGUUUCUGUAUUUUUGCAUUUUCUAAUGGCUGGAACAGGAGUUCAAGGAGGACUGAACAGUAGCUGCAGUGUAUGAUGGAGACAAACAGUUUUCAUAUCAGGAGCUUAUCUGAGGAGAAAAUUGUGGCCCUGGUGAAACAUCAUAACUCAGUGAUCUGUAAUGGCCCUUGUGCUCUACACUAAGUGCAUCUUAUUGCAGAUUUCCUCAGACCUAUUUUUAAGUGG